rnacentral:rRNA from 1 species
CGCGCAUUCGCCCUUAGAGUUUGAUCCUGGCUCAGGACGAACGCUGGCGGCGCGCCUAACACAUGCAAGUCGAACGGAGCUUAGAGAGCUUGCUUUUUAAGCUUAGUGGCGAACGGGUGAGUAACGCGUGAGUAACCUGCCCUAGAGUGGGGGACAACAGUUGGAAACGACUGCUAAUACCGCAUAAGCCCACGGUACCGCAUGGUACUGAGGGAAAAGGAUUUAUUCGCUUUAGGAUGGACUCGCGUCCAAUUAGCUAGUUGGUGAGGUAACGGCCCACCAAGGCGACGAUUGGUAGCCGGACUGAGAGGUUGAACGGCCACAUUGGGACUGAGACACGGCCCAGACUCCUACGGGAGGCAGCAGUGGGGGAUAUUGCACAAUGGGGGAAACCCUGAUGCAGCGACGCCGCGUGGAGGAAGAAGGUUUUCGGAUUGUAAACUCCUGUCGUUAGGGACGAUAAUGACGGUACCUAACAAGAAAGCACCGGCUAACUACGUGCCAGCAGCCGCGGUAAAACGUAGGGUGCAAGCGUUGUCCGGAAUUACUGGGUGUAAAGGGAGCGCAGGCGGGAAGACAAGUUGGAAGUGAAAACCAUGGGCUCAACCCAUGAAUUGCUUUCAAAACUGUUUUUCUUGAGUAGUGCAGAGGUAGAUGGAAUUCCCGGUGUAGCGGUGGAAUGCGUAGAUAUCGGGAGGAACACCAGUGGCGAAGGCGGUCUACUGGGCACCAACUGACGCUGAGGCUCGAAAGCAUGGGUAGCAAACAGGAUUAGAUACCCUGGUAGUCCAUGCCGUAAACGAUGAUUACUAGGUGUUGGGGGAUUGACCCCCUCAGUGCCGCAGUUAACACAAUAAGUAAUCCACCUGGGGAGUACGACCGCAAGGUUGAAACUCAAAGGAAUUGACGG